AACUGUGCCACGAAGUCGUCGUGUCUGGCCCACGUUUGCAUCCCCUACAAAGGCGGCCUGAAAUUGAUGAAAGCGUUCAGUGUCCGUUAAACUCCAGCCUGCAUUAGAAAGAUCUGCAUCAAGCUGAAUGUGUUACCCAGAUGGAACUGGAACUCGAGAUUCUCCAAUCUCAGCCUCCCCGAGUGCAGAGAUUACAGGUGUGAGCCACCUCCCAGCUCCCGUGUAUCUUGUCUGGUCUUACUAUGCAGUUCAGGCUGGCCUUGAACGCACUAUGGAGCCCUGGCUGGCCUCCACCUCAGGUGAUCCUCCUGCCUCAGCCUCCAGAGUGCUGGUAUCAUAGGUGUGUGCCACCAUGCCCAGCUUGCUAGGGCCACUUUGGGCUCUGUCUAUGGCCAGAGUUGGAUAAUUGCAACGGAGACACUAUGCGACAGACAAAGGCUAAAGUACAUACCAUCGGAAUCUGUUCAUUUGUUUGUUUAUUUAUUUUUGAGACAGUUUCAGCGUGUAGCCCAGAGUGGCCUCGGACUUGUGGUGCUCUGAGUGCUGGGAUGACAGAUGUAUGCCAUCACAUCCAGCUACCAUCCGGCUCUUCAAGGGCACAUUUUCUGGUCUCUGUGAUAGCGUGUUAGAGUCUUAAGGUCUACUCCUGGUAGGGUGUUAACCCAGGGCAAAAGCAGGGUGACCCAGGACUCAGGGGAAAGCGCCAUUCCGUGUAAGCCAUUGGGCCUGCUGGGGAGUGACUGCCCACAUCCCACACACGAGCUCUGCCACACACAGGCUCUAACCACAAGCCCACGCUUGAGGUUCCUGUGGGUUUCCUAUUCUCUGCUCACGACCACUUGAGUACAGUGAGAGGCAUUUCCAAAUUAGCUAAAGUCAGCAUGCCUGGUGGCAUGUGCCUGUAGUCCCAGAUGCUUGGGAAGCUAAGGCAGGAGGAUAGAGCAAGUAUAAGCCCAGGGUGAGUGACUUAGGAAAACCCUGUCUCAAACUAAAAUUAAACCAGGGCUGGGAAUGUAGCUCAGCAGUAGACCACUUGCCUAGCAUGAGCAAGACCCUGUUCUUGGAUAGGAAGAAC
rnacentral:lncRNA from 1 species